UUUUAAAGUAGUUCGGCCGCUCGAUAAAGUACGGUGAAGGACCACUUUUUUUUUUUUUCUACGGUAAAUGAUAAAACUUUGAGUUUUUAACACGGUGCCCUAUGGGAGGGCUCACAAUAGUGUCAAUUGUGAAAAAAUUGUACGGUCUUCGAGCUCUUCGAGCUUUUUUUGAAAAAACUUUAGUUUUUGACGUGUUGAAAGCGGAUGUCAGUCAUUACGUUGGGAAUCGGGGGAAUUUCAUCAAAUUUAUUUUGAGACUGACUCACGUGCUUUCACUCGUCUAGUAGCUUCGCUUUUUUCAAUGAAUUGACCAUUCCUUUAUCUCGGUGGCGUUACACCGAUGUAUAAACUUUCUUUCGCGCAAUAAAAAUGUUCCUCAAAUUUAGUGUGUUUCAAAACUCGGACUCGAUCAUUAACUAGUCAAGUUGAAGUAUAAAUUUGAUUUUUCAUGAUAUUUUUAAAGCAUUUUAUAAUAUUCUUGUGAUAAAAAUAUUCUUAUAAUUUUAUUAAUAAAAUUUUCCCGAAUAUAGAAAAUACUUGAAAAUUGUAAGCAGGGGCGUUUUAAAUAAAACGACUGAUUGGUCGCGUUGAAUUCGAUCGAAAGUAUGUGAAUGAAAGUUGCCCUGAGUGCCAAUCGAAAGGUCCCGUGACUGCUGGCUCGUGCUUUUUUCUCGAAAAUUUCGUAGAGGAUUGUGGAAGGAAUGAAAUGAAAUAAGUAAUUGGUUUUGGAUCGUGUUACGUUUAGUUCGGUCAGAUGUGGAUUCGAUAUAAUUUGAAAGAAUGAUAGUGCCAACAAGGGAACAACGCGGGGUGAUUGACAGAUGAAUGCACACAUAGUAAUCGAGUCGUCGACUUCGUUGAUCGCCCCCAGGGACAAUGGAGAAACAUGGAACAGGCCAGUACUCCGGCAGGAUCGUAAGUUAGAGUCAGAAAUAGGACGACAGAAUGCGGAAACACUGGCAGCAUCGACGAAUGCUUCGAGUUUGCAUGGCGAGUAGCGUUUGUUGAGCUCGCGAAUUCGCCGAGACUCGAGCCUCUCAAUGCGAAGUUCGUCUACGUGAGUAAUCACUCGCGAAGUGAGAUAGCGAGGGGAAAAAAUACGUCAAGUUUCGCCCGCGAACUUGCCAUCGUUUCGUAACGUGAGUAGCCAUUUUUUAAUCCAAUUAUCCCGAAAGAUAUUUCACCAUCGAAUUUGCAACGAGAAAUCAACUGGAGAGCCACGAGGAAGGAUGAAAAAAAAUGAAAAAUAGAAGAGAAAAAACAAAUAUUGGCCUCUUACCAAGUUUGUUGUCCAACGAGUCGGCGGUUUCGUUGCUUAUUCGCCUCACGCACUCCGGCUUCGUCACAUCGACGAUCGUUCCUGCAACACAAAUAAAGAAAAAGAGAAUGUCAAAAAUGUUUUAUUUCAUUUUGUUUUACAGUAGUUUAAGGAAUACGAGUAAUAAAAGAAAGAACGGAGCCUCCCGGAACAGCAAGUCUGUCGGA